UAGUACAAGGUUUCCGUAGGUGAACCUGCGGAAGGAUCAUUA
rnacentral:rRNA from 1 species